GUGGAUCAUCAUCAUCCCAUUAGAAGUCGGUUGACCCGGCUUGAUGAAAUCUAUUAAACAAGAUUGUGCUUUUUUACGUGGGAGAAUACUUACACGCGAGAAGAUGAGAAACAUCGACGAGUCGCAUCUCACGAGCUCUUCUUGUGUGAGAUAAUAGCAAAAUAUAAAACAACUUUACAAACACACACACACACACAGACACACACAUGAACACAUGCCUGUGUACUUUGUUUGCUUGUUUAAUAAUGUAAACGGUAGUAUCGAAUAUUAUACACUUUGUACAUAUUACUUGGAAUGUGUGUGAUUUGACGCGGUGCGAUUGAUUAUUCUUGUAUGAAUGGCCAAUCUAAAUGAAUUAAAAAAAAAAAAA